rnacentral:rRNA from 1 species
UCGGGAAUUUUGGGCAAUGGGCGAAAGCCUGACCCAGCAACGCCGCGUGAAGGAUGAAGUAUUUCGGUAUGUAAACUUCGAAAGAAUAGGAAGAAUAAAUGACGGUACUAUUUAUAAGGUCCGGCUAACUACGUGCCAGCAGCCGCGGUAAUACGUAGGGACCAAGCGUUGUUCGGAUUUACUGGGCGUAAAGGGCGCGUAGGCGGCAAUUCAAGUCAUCUGUGAAAUCUCCGGGCUUAACUCGGAACGGUCAGAUGAUACUGCUUUGCUAGAGUGCAGAAGGGGCAAUCGGAAUUCUUGGUGUAGCGGUGAAAUGCGUAGAUAUCAAGAGGAACACCUGAGGUGAAGACGGGUUGCUGGGCUGACACUGACGCUGAGGCGCGAAAGUGUGGGUAUCAAACAGGAUUAGAUACCCACGUAGUCCCUGAG